rnacentral:lncRNA from 1 species
AAGACUUCAUAUGUAGCUCAUCAAUAGUCUCUAUAUUGAUACCUCAAAACUUCUGUAACUAAAAAUCUCAAAACCUUUGAUUGAUCAGAGCAGCUCCAAAAAUGGAAACACAAGUUUCUAGAUUUAGUAUUCUCAUGUUCCCAUGGUUGGCUCAUGGCCAUAUAUUUCCAUUUCUAGAGCUAGCCAAAGCCAUCUUGCACAGAAAAAACCUGCACAUAUACUUGUGCUCAACAUCCAUCAAUUUUGAUUCAAUCAAGGCCUUCAUCAGCAAGCACGCGUUACACGGCUCAAUCGAGCUGGUACAGAUCCAUCUAGAACCAUCUGAAGAUCUCCUCCUGACCACCUCACCACCAAGAACCUGCCUCCAUCUCUCAUGCCCACCCUCCUCAAGGCCUUCCAGACGUCGUACACCAGCUUCUCGGACAUCAUCAGCACCCUCAAACCUGAUUUAGUACUGUAUGACUUCUUCCAGUCUUGGUCUGCCAAGAUUGCUGCAUCACAAGGUAUCCCUGCAGUUCAUUUCUCCAUCUAUGGAGCUACUGCUUAUUCCCUCGUGCAUCACAAGCAGACAUUUGGUGAGGCAGAGGUCCCCUUCCCGGGAAUCCAGUUCGAGGGGCACAAGCUACAAGAAAUAUGUGAUGUCCUGGCCUCUCUAAGCACCAUCAUCCAUGAUCUUGAUGAUCAAGAUUUCCUUUUUGGGAAUAUCAAGCAAUCUUGUGACCUAGUCUUGAUGAAGACAAGUAGAGGGGUUGAAGGGAAGUACAUUGAUUACCUUUCCACUUUGUCUGGGAAGAAAAUAGUCCCUGUUGGUCCAUUGAUCACUCACACCACACAAAACAACCAAGAACAGUCAUACAUAAUCGAGUGGCUAAGCAAGAAAAGCCAGCAUUCGACUGUUUUCAUUUCAUUUGGGAGUGAGUACUUCUUGUCCAAGUCUGAGAUUGAAGAGAUAGCAAAAGGGCUGGAGCUUUGCAGUGUGAGCUUCAUAUGGAUCAUCAGGUUUCCACUGGGAGCAACGGUGAGCCUAGACGAGGUGCUGCCAGAGGGCUUCCUCGAGAGGGCCGGGGAGAGAGGACUAGUUGUGACAGGAUGGGCACCACAGGCUGAUAUAUUAGGCCAUCAAAAUUUGGGUUGCUUUGUGAGCCACUGUGGGUGGAGUUCUUGUAUGGAGAGCAUGUAUUUUGGGGUCGCAGUCGUGGCCAUGCCUAUGAAAAUUGAUCAGCCUAUGAAUGCUAGGAUGCUGGUGGAGGCCGGCAGCUGUGUGGAGGUGCCAAGAAGUGAAGAUGGGGUGUUUAAAGGGGAGGAUAUAGGUGAGGCUAUUAGGAAGGUGGUGGAGGAGGAGGGCGGGGAAGAGCUGAGGCGUCGUGCUCGUGGAUUGAGUGAGAGGUUGAAGAGGGAAGAGGGACAAGUGAUGGAUGAAGCAGCUGAGCAGCUGUGGCAGCUGUGUUUGAAGAAACAGACAACAAGAUGCUGAUAUUUAAGCAUAUAUAAGUAUCCAUAUUAUGGAUUUAUUUCAAGUGUUUCUAUUUCAUCUCAUGUUGAUUAAGAAAUAUGACAGAAACAGAAAUCUUAUGGCCUUAUUUCCUAUAAACAGAACAGAACAGAACAGAACAGAAGUGAGGCCAACAUCAAAAACAACAACCAAACCCCCAAAAAAAAAACAUAAAAAACAUCAUCUAGGAUUUAUUAAAAAUCAUGCAACUGUAAACUAAAAAAAACAACAAUAGCAAAGUAAAACAAAUAUAGAUAUUAGAUAGUUUGUCAAGAAUGCCUAACAUUAUCACUCACUUCUCUUUUAAUGCAUCAUCAACUGAUAAACACUUAAUUAGUUGCACUUGAUGAUUGAACUCAACUCCAUUUUUAAAAGAAAUAAAAAAGAAAAAAAAAUUUAACCAAAAAAAUGAUCAAUAAUCAAAAUAAUAAUAACAAAAAAUAAUAAUACAUAUCAAAUAACAGAAAAAAGUGGUAUAUCAAAAGAAAAAACAAAACGAAAAAAUGCAGUAAAAGUGCAAAACAAGUGGAGAAAUGUUACACAAAAUAAAUUAGGCAUAAUAUAAGAACUCAUAUGCUACAACUAAGACUAAAAAUCCAUCUUAAACAUUUGCAGCUUCUUGUCUGUUUCUUCAAAAAAAGCUGUUCAGCUCCACUUGAUCGGUAAUUUGUUCGUCUUCCCUCUUCAACAAUUCACUAAAUCCAUUAUAGAUGAUCAUUUCAGACCACAUUAACCUUUAUUCUAGAAUCAAGAUUGAAUUUUCUUUAUAAACAAUGCUUGAGACAGUCAAAACAGAACGCUGGAAUCACAUUCUCUAAGAGUUUUCUUCACCAUUUAAUGAGCAAAAGCCUUGUAUUGAAAAGUGAUCAAAUAAAUUAAGUUACAAGACAAAAGUUGUUAAGUGAGAGUAAUUAUAAAGUGACAAAUCAGGAUCUUUAUUAUGUGAUGAGGAAUCUUAAUGGAGGCAAGAGCAUCACUGACAAAUGCAACAAGCAAAUGGCAAGAAAACUAACAUGUUAUGAUAAAGAAAUGGAGAAAAUGGCCCUCAUUGAUUAAAGAAGAAUUCGAAGUUUAUUUGUUGUAUAUGCCUUGAUUAAAAAAAAUUAAUUAAGACCUGCAAUCUAAAAUAUAACUUCUUUAUUGUGUGUCUCAUUAAUUAAAGAUAUGUGUGAAGACUUCAUUUGUAGUUCAUCAAUAGUUUCUACAUUGAUACCUCAACUUCUGUAACCAAAAAUCUCAAAACCUUUGAUUGAUCAGAGCAGCUCCAAAAAUGGAAACACAAGUUUCUAGAUUUAGUAUUCUCAUGUUCCCAUGGUUGGCUCAUGGCCACAUAUUUCCAUUUCUAGAGCUAGCCAAAGCCAUCUUGCACAGAAAAAACCUGCACAUAUACUUGUGCUCAACAUCCAUCAAUUUUGAUUCCAUCAAGGCCUUCAUCAACAAACACGCGUUAAACAGCUCAAUUGAGCUAGUUGAGAUCCAUCUAGAACCAUCUGAAGAUCUCCCUCCUCACCACCACACCACCAAGAACCUGCCUCCAUCUCUCAUGCUCACCCUCCUCAAGGCCUUCCAGACGUCGUACACCAGCUUCACGGACAUCAUCAGCGCCCUCAAACCUGAUUUAGUAGUGUACGACGUGUUCCAGCCUUGGUCUGCCAAGAUUGCUGCAUCACAAGG